rnacentral:rRNA from 1 species
GAGUGGACGGUCCCCACACUUGGGACUGAGACACGGCCCAGACUCCUACGGAAGGCAGCAG